UACGGCGGAGGCAAGCGUUAUCCGGAAUUAUUGGGCGUAAAGCGUCCGUAGGUGGUGAUUCAAGUCAGCGGUUAAAGCGUGGGGCUUAACCUCAUACAGGCCGUUGAAACUGGAUUGCUAGAGUGCGGUAGGGGUCGAGGGAAUUCCCAGUGUAGCGGUGAAAUGCGUAGAGAUUGGGAAGAACACCGGUGGCGAAAGCGCCCGGCUGGGCCUGCACUGACACUGAGGGACGAAAGCUAGGGGAGCGAAAGGG
rnacentral:rRNA from 1 species